rnacentral:rRNA from 1 species
AGCGAACGCGGAACAGCCUGUAUGUGAUAGAGAUUGCGUUAGUGGAAGGUUCAUGGAAAGGACCGCCGUAGUGGGUGAUAGCCCCGUACACGAAAACGCAUUCUUGGUACUAAGCAUACGAGAAGUAGGGCGGGACACGCGAAAUCCUGUCUGAAUAUGGGGGGACCAUCCUCCAAGGCUAAAUACUCGUGAUUGACCGAUAGUGAACCAGAACCGUGAGGGAAAGGUGAAAAGCACCCCGG